CCCGCUGAACUUAAGCAUAUCAAUAAGCGGAGGAAAAGAAACCAACAGGGAUUGCCUCAGUAACGGCGAGUGAAGCGGCAACAGCUCAAAUUUGAAAUCUGGCCUCUGGCCCGAGUUGUAAUUUGCAGAGGAUGUUUCUGGCGAGGUGCCUUCCGAGUUCCCUGGAACGGGACGCCAUAGAGGGUGAGAGCCCCGUACGGUUGGUCGCUAAGCCUCUGUGAAACUCCUUCGACGAGUCGAGUAGUUUGGGAAUGCUGCUCUAAAUGGGAGGUGUACGCCUUCUUAAGCUAAAUACCGGCUAGAGACCGAUAGCGCACAAGUAGAGUGAUCGAAAGAUGAAAAGCACUUUGAAAAGAGGGUUAAAAAGUACGUGAAAUUGUUGAAAGGGAAGCGCUCUUGACCAGACUUGCGCCGGUUGAUCAUCCGCCGUUCUCGGUGGUGCACUCUGCCGGCUCAGGCCAGCAUCAGUUCGGCCCGGGGGAUAAAGGCGUCGGGAAUGUGGCUCUCUCCGGGGAGUGUUAUAGCCCGUUGCGUAAUACCCUGGGCUGGACUGAGGUUCGCGCAUCUGCAUGGAUGCUGGCGUAAUGGUUAUCAGUGACCCGUCUUGAAACACGG
rnacentral:rRNA from 1 species